GACGAACGCUGGCGGCGUGCCUAAUACAUGCAAGUCGAGCGGACUUGACAGAGCUUGCUCUGUUCAAGUUAGCGGCGGACGGGUGAGUAACACGUGGGCAACCUGCCCUGCAGAUUGGGAUAACUCCGGGAAACCGGGGCUAAUACCGAAUAAUAUGGAAAACCUCAUGGUUUUCUUUUAAAAGGCGGCUUCGGCUGUCACUGCAGGAUGGGCCCGCGGCGCAUUAGCUAGUUGGUGAGGUUACGGCUCACCAAGGCGACGAUGCGUAGCCGACCUGAGAGGGUGAUCGGCCACACUGGGACUGAGACACGGCCCAGACUCCUACGGGAGGCGGCAGUAGGGAAUCUUCCGCAAUGGACGAAAGUCUGACGGAGCAACGCCGCGUGAGUGAAGAAGGUUUUCGGAUCGUAAAACUCUGUUGUUAGGGAAGAACAAGUAUCGGAGUAACUGCCGGUACCUUGACGGUACCUGACCAGAAAGCCACGGCUAACUACGUGCCAGCCGCCGCAGUAAAAC
rnacentral:rRNA from 1 species